GGUGGAAUUUCUGAAAGCGUAUAUCGUGGUAGAAAGGACAAUAGAGGAUAAAAUGAAUUGAGUUCUCUCUUCGAGGUCACAUAGUGUUUCCGCUUCCAUUUCACCACAAACCGACCUGUUUCAAUACACAGAGACAAUAUCCCUGAUCUUACCUGUUUCAAUACGCAGAGACAAUAUCCCUGAUCUUACCUGUUUCAAUACUCAGAGGCAAUAUCUCUGAUCUUACCUGUUUCGAUACACAGAGGCAAUUUCCCUGAUCUUACCUGUUUCAAUACGCAGAGGCAAUUUCCCUGAUCUAACCUGUUUCAAUACACAGGCAAUUUCCCUGAUCUUGCCUGUUUCAAUACACCAAAGCAAUUUCCCUGAUCUUACCUGUUUCAAUACACAGAAGGAAUUUCCCUGAUCUUACUUGUUUCAAUACGCAGAGGCAAUAUCCCUGAUCUUACAUGUGCACAUAGCGAUCACUUGCUUUUUUGUAGGUUGUACAUAAUAUAUAUAUCUCACACACAAAGUCAGCCUUAAUCAAACAAAAGGUUCUCAAUUUGGGUUUAUGAUUAAUCUCCACCCAUUUGUUUUAAUAUUGCAUUGUCAGUUGUUUUUUAAUCGCAUCUAUGUCUCCUUUAAUUUGGUUUUCGUUCAAAUGUUCACAGACAGGGCACAAUGGUGUCAAGUCAAGUUACCAAUCGUUUUUCCACCAUUCAUUUUUCCCAUAGUGGAUUUAGAAAAACUUAAAAUAAGAGCUGUGUUUCAUGUAGGCUCACCCUGGCAUGAUGUUUUGAUAACCAUGUAAAUCUCUAGGACAAGGAUACUUUUAUCAAUAUAUUUUCCGGUAUUUACCCCCCAAAAGUGAAAUGCUAAUUAGCUGCUAAUGUGGCUAUCCUAAAAAAACUACAAUUGCCCUGAUGAUCUGGACGAGCCUGCCGAAUUGAGGCAAAGGUAACCAUGUCUAGAUUAACUAUCUAAUGUUAGCUACAUUUUCUAAUUAAUAAAUUGUCUAAAUUUCUGUAAAU
ensembl:lncRNA